CCUACUUGGAUAACUGUGGUAAUUCUAGAGCUAAUACAUGCACCAAAGCUCUGACCUUGCGGGAAGAGUGCAUUUAUUAGAACAAAACCAAGCGGCUUCGGUCGUUUUUUGUUGACUCAGAAUAACUAAGCUGAUCGCAUGGUCUUGUACCGGCGACGUGUCUUUCAAGUAUCUGCCUUAUCAACUUUCGAUGGUAGUGUAUCUGACUACCAUGGUUGUGACGGGUAACGGAGGAUAAGGGUUCGACUCCGGAGAAGGGGCCUGAGAAAUGGCCACUACGUCUAAGGAUGGCAGCAGGCGCGCAAAUUACCCACUCUCAGAACGAGGAGGUAGUGACGAAAAAUAACGAGACCGUUCUCUAUGAGGCCGGUCAUCGGAAUGGGUACAAUCUAAACCCUUUAACGAGUAUCUAUGAGAGGGCAAGUCUGGUGCCAGCAGCCGCGGUAAUUCCAGCUCUCAAAAUGCAUAGAAUUAUUGCUGCGGUUAAAAAGCUCGUAGUUGGAUCUGUGCCAGGAGAGCGGUCCACUUUCGGGUGGUACUGCUACGAAUGGCUUUUUGCUGGUUUUCUCGUCGUAGUCUUAACCGAUUGCGGCGGGUGGCUGGCGAUUUUACUUUGAACAAAUCAGAGUGCUUAACACAGGCGUUUCGCUUGAAUGUUCUUGCAUGGAAUAAUAGAAAAGGAUUUCGGUUCUAUUUUAUUGGUUUUAUAGACUGAGAUAAUGGUUAACAGAGACAAACGGGGGCAUUCGUA
rnacentral:rRNA from 1 species